UACAGAGGGGGCCAGCGUUAUUCGGAAUUAUUGGGCGUAAAGGGCGCGUAGGCGGCCAUGCGUGUCUUCCGUGAAAUCCCUCGGCUUAACUGAGGACGUGCGGAAGAAACUGCAAGGCCUGAGUCCGGGAGAGGGGGGUGGAAUUCCCAGUGUAGCGGCGAAAUGCGUAGAUAUUGGGAGGAACACCGGUGGCGAAGGCGGCCCCCUGGACCGGUACUGACGCUGAGGCGCGAAAGCGUGGGUAGCAAACGGG
rnacentral:rRNA from 1 species